AGAGUUUGAUCCUNGCUCAGGAUGAACGCUAGCUACAGGCUUAACACAUGCAAGUCGAGGGGCAUCAGGAAGAAAGCUUGCUUUCUUUGCUGGCGACCGGCGCACGGGUGAGUAACACGUAUCCAACCUGCCCUUUACUCGGGGAUAGCCUUUCGAAAGAAAGAUUAAUACCCGAUAGCAUAAUGAUUCCGCAUGGUUUCAUUAUUAAAGGAUUCCGGUAAAGGAUGGGGAUGCGUUCCAUUAGGUUGUUGGUGAGGUAACGGCCCACCAAGCCUUCGAUGGAUAGGGGUUCUGAGAGGAAGGUCCCCCACAUUGGAACUGAGACACGGUCCAAACUCCUACGGGAGGCAGCAAUCGAAUUCCG
rnacentral:rRNA from 1 species